AGGUGCGAUCAUACCAGCACUAAUGCACCGGAUCCCAUCAGACGAGAGUAGUACUAGGAUGGGUGAUCUCCUGGGAAGUCCUCGUGUUGCACCUC
rnacentral:rRNA from 2 species